ACGGAGGGGGUUAGCGUUGUUCGGAAUGACUGGGCGUAAAGCGCGCGUAGGCGGGCUGGAAAGUUGGGGGUGAAAUCCCGGGGCUCAACCCCGGAAUGGCCUUCAAAACUCCCAGCCUUGAGUUCGAGAGAGGUGGGUGGAAUUCCGAGUGUAGAGGUGAAAUUCGUAGAUAUUCGGAGGAACACCAGUGGCGAAGGCGGCCCACUGGCUCGACACUGACGCUGAGGUGCGAAAGCGUGGGGAGCAAACCGGA
rnacentral:rRNA from 1 species